UAGGUCCUGGGUAGAAAAGUCAAUGGAACAGAUCAAGAUGAUAACUGCACACAAGAUUUCUUACAUGCCAAGAUGCUAGGCUCNAGAGCGUACGUAGUCAUUAUUGAGUAAAUCCGAUGUGUCCAUCAUUCUAGCUAGUGGGUUCUUUCCUAGAGUGUGAGUUAACCCUUUUAUUGUCUUUGUUAGGUCCUGGGUAGAAAAGUCAGUGGAACAGAUCAAGAUGAUAUUGCACACAAGUUUUCUUACAUGCCAAGAUGCCAGGCUUGGUGGGUGGUACCCCUGCAGAACUGUUCCUCCACACAUCUUGUUCCUGGUCCAGGUUGGCUCCGCAGCACAUGUGGCCCUGCAAAUCUAUUCCCUGCUAAUGCUGUGUCCUCCAUCAUUUCACCACGGCAUGUCCGUCCAUCUUUGUAAGUCCUGCUGCUUUCUAAAUCUUACCAGAAUGUCCUUUAGAAAAAUGGGCCAGUGCUGGACAUUUGGGUGGACCAGUAAUGAUGCUGAGACAGGAAGCCACCUCAGUGACACUGAAUACCAGUACUUGCCUGGAGCUCUUAAGGAUUUAAAAGGGAGGCGGAUAUGACAACCCUGGGCAGAACCUUGGAAAAAAGAAAGAAAGACAACAUGGUCUACAAAUGCUCAGAUCCUGACAGUAAUAAAGAAUACAAACUAAAAGAUGGAAUAAAAGCA
rnacentral:lncRNA from 1 species